GUGGUUGUGGCUCGGUGGUAGGGUACUCGUCUUACAUGUGUGAAGCACUGUGUUCAAUCCUCAGAAUCACA
rnacentral:tRNA from 1 species